GAAGUGAGAUGAGAUAGCCGCUGUCCAAUCCCCUUUAUUAAGGGGGUCGGAUGGAGGAAAGUCCGGACUCCGCAGGGCAGGGAGGUCGCUAACAGCGACCGCCCCCAUACUUAUUCAAUAGGUGUGGGGGUAGGGAACAGGGCCACAGAAAAUAAACCGCCUGCCAGCCGAAGGCUGGGGUCAUUAGUUUACAGUCAGAAGUCAUUAGUUUUUGCUUAUGACUCAUGACAAAAGAACUUUGACUCCGAGACGAAGUCUCGGCGGGUAAGGGUGAAACGGUGGGGUAAGAGCCCACCAGCCCCGAUGGUGACAUCGGGGGCUUGGUAACCCCCUCAUGGAGCAAGGCCAAAUAGGAAGACGUAUAAGGAUUGCCCGUCCAUGGCCACUAUACGUGGCGCGUCUUCGGGUUGGUCGCUUGAGGUGCUGAGCAAUCAGCAUCCCAGAUGAAUGGCUAUUACCCCCUCCCCCCCUCUUGGAGAGGGGGGAGGGGGACACAGAAUCCGGCUUACGGUCUCACUUCAGCU
rfam:Deltaproteobacteria bacterium GWF2_42_12 gwf2_scaffold_2734, whole genome shotgun sequence.